rnacentral:sRNA from 1 species
GAACAAGAAGAAGCCCCCGCUUCUCGCCUAAGUUAUUUAACCUCUGGGCAAAUCGAUAUUUUCUGUUGAUUUUAAAGGCGGGUGCUAUAUGCCCGCUUUUUUCUUGUC